rfam:Oryza sativa (indica cultivar-group) chromosome 10, whole genome shotgun sequence.
CCUAAGUAUAGUUUUAACACUAUUCAUGCUCAAUGUUUAACUGUUCGUCUUAUUUGAAAAACAAUUAUAAUUAGUAUUUUUAUUGUUAUUAGAUAAUACAUGAAUAGUACUUUAUGUGUGACUAAUAUUUUUAAUUUUUUUUCAUAAAAUUUUUAAAUAAGACGGAUGGUCAAAACGCUGGACACGGAUAUCUAUGGCUGUACUUAUU